UACGUAGGGAGCAAGCGUUGUCCGGAAUCACUGGGCGUAAAGGGCGUGUAGGCGGAUAGAUAAGUCGGGCGUGAAAUCCCCAGGCUCAACCUGGGAACUGCACUCGAAACUGUUUAUCUUGAGUGCCGGAGAGGAAAGCGGAAUUCCUGGUGUAGAGGUGAAAUUCGUAGAUAUCAGGAGGAACACCAGUGGCGAAGGCGGCUUUCUGGACGGUAACUGACGCUGAGACGCGAAAGCGUGGGGAGCAAACAGG
rnacentral:rRNA from 1 species